GUCUACAUUGUUUGGCUAAGGGAAAAAUCAUACAUUCUUCUUGCACACUAGUAUCUACUUUAUUCUUCAAAAUGGAAAUAUGUUUUUUUACUUUCAUAGAGGGUUGCCCCAAUCUAAGAUGUCAUAGCUUCAAUUCUUAUAUCCUCUUGUCUGUAACUACUGCUCCAACUACUGGUACCACUUCAUGCUUGAGAAUGUAAAGCCUUUUCCUUCCUUAUAAAUCCCA
rnacentral:lncRNA from 1 species